UACGUAGGGGGCUAGCGUUGUCCGGAAUCAUUGGGCGUAAAGAGCGCGUAGGCGGCCAGAUAAGUCCGGUGUGAAAGUCAAAGGCUCAACCUUUGAAUGCCGCUGGAAACUGUCUGGCUAGAGUCCGGGAGGGGCGAGUGGAAUUCCUGGUGUAGCGGUGAAAUGCGCAGAUAUCAGGAGGAACACCAAUGGCGAAGGCAGCUCGCUGGAACGGUACUGACGCUGAGGCGCGAAAAGCGUGGGGAGCGAACAGG
rnacentral:rRNA from 1 species